CUAGACCCUACAAUGAAGUCUGGCAGGACUCCGGGACUUGUCAAUCUGCAACUCCAUUGGUUUUCUCAGCACUACUUCCCUAAAGAUUGGCGUCAUUGGCGAGGCAGCAUUUAUUGCCCGGAGGACAGUUCAGAGUCAAUCACGUUGCUGUGGGUCUGGAGUCACGUGUAAGCCAGACUAGUACUCUCCAAAAUCUCCGUUAAAUGGAGAAUUUCAGAAGAUUCCACAUGUAAAGAAAUUGUCAGCGGAAAAUUCAAGUUCUUUCAACAUACAGCUCCUAUAAUUUUCGAGAAGCUCAACAACAUCCAGAUCAAAGGACCCCACUUGACUGGCAUCCAUCCACUUUCUUCAACAUUCAAUCCGUUCACUGCCAAUGCCACGUGGCAAUAACAUGUACCAUCUAUAAGAAGCACUGCAGUAACUCGCCAAGGCUUCUUCAAUAACAUCUUCAAACCACAACCUUUGCUACUUAGAGGGGUGGAAGCUGUAUGGGAAUGGCGACACCUACUUCCAAGUCACACUUGGAACUGACUUGGAACUGACUUGGCUUUUCCUUCACUAUUACUCCUUGCACUAUCUACGGUCGAGAUUAGAUUAGAUUCCCUACAGUGUGGUAAUUGGCCCUUUGGUCCAACAAGUCCACACCGCCCCUUGAGGCAUCCCACCCAGACCCAUCCCCCUAUAACCCACACACCCCUGAACACUAUGGACAAUUUAGCAUGGCCAAUUCACCUAUCCUGCACAUCUUUGGGCUGUGGGAGGAAACCGGAGCACCCGGAGGAAACCCACACAGACACAGGGAGAAUGUGCAAACUCCACACAGACAGUCGCCUGAGGCGGGAAUCGAACCCAGGUCCCUGGCACUGUGAGACUGCAGUGCUAACCACUGAGCCACCAUGCCACCCAAAGGUCACAGUGCUGUGUGUCAGGCCUGUAUUCAGGCAGAGAACUGAAUAAGGUGAAAAUUCAAACAAUGUAACUUACUUAUGAUGAUAUUAAAAAUAAAGGAAUUAUAUUAUGUUGCACUAUAUAAAUCAAACAAGUUAUUAUUAUUAAAUUAUGCACAUUAGUGCUGUAUUAAACACUCAAUAUAUAGGUGGUUACCAAAUUUGGGUUUUCAUCACUAUUUAUUACAUGAAGAAUUGCCCAACUCUAAACUGCUAACAGUCUUUCCUGUGAAAACGAAAAUGUGUAGAUAACAUGGAUAAGGAUAGGGAACAACGAAUCCAAUGAAGCUGCGGUCAUUUUGAAUAAUUAUACAAACCUGACCAAUCCGACAAAAAAAAGUUCAUUUAAGCAACAAUAUUGGAAUGAAUAAUCACUGGUGAUAGAACAAUAUAGUUGCCUGUCAUCACCAACAUGCCAGAGGCCAAAGGCAUAAUAUUCUAGACACUUAGAAUAAGAGUAGGAUGUCAGCUUAGCUGAGUGUUGUUUUACUGAGCUAUGAAGAGGGAGGAAACAAUCCUUACACAGUGAAUGGUAUGUAACUACCUAAGCCAUCAUAUUCGGCUAAGAAAGGCUAUAAAGUUACUCACCUGCCAGAACAUGAGAGAUAUUUCCUACCUGCAAGGAGUAAAUUGCAUGCUUGGAAUACUUGACUAGCCACAGAGAUCUGACUAUUGAUAUGUUGACAUUUAACAAACACAAACAGACUAAUUCUAAUUGGGAUUACAUCAUUUGCAAGUGAGCACAUUGAAAUGACCCUUUUCUAAUCAUUGAAAUGUUUUCAUUCCACCUUGUACACAUAAUAUUCCCUGACCUACAAAAUUUAUGUGUUAAAUUUACUCAACUGUGCUUUGCUGUGACAUACACUAUUGUUUUCUACAUGGUAGAACCUCUAUUUCUACUACGCGUCAGUGCAUUCUCUUUAUGAUGGCACAUUA